UUCUCUUAUAUGAAAUUUUUUUAUAAUUAGUAUUUUUAUUAUUGUUAAAUGAUAAAACAUGAUUAAUACUUUAUACGUGACUUGUCUUUUUAAUUUUUUUCAUAAUUUUUUCAAAUAAGACGGACGGUCAAACGUUGGACAUGGAAACUCAGGGUUUGUCUUUUU
rnacentral:pre_miRNA from 1 species